GAUGAACGCUGGCGGCGUGCCUAAUACAUGCAAGUCGAGCGAACAGACGAGGAGCUUGCUCCUCUGACGUUAGCGGCGGACGGGUGAGUAACACGUGGAUAACCUACCUAUAAGACUGGGAUAACUUCGGGAUACCGGAGCUAAUACCGGAUAAUAUAUUGAACCGCAUGGUUCAAUAGUGAAAGACGGUUUUGCUGUCACUUAUAGAUGGAUCCGCGCCGCAUUAGCUAGUUGGUAAGGUAACGGCUUACCAAGGCGACGAUGCGUAGCCGACCUGAGAGGGUGAUCGGCCACACUGGAACUGAGACACGGUCCAGACUCCUACGGGAGGCAGCAGUAGGGAAUCUUCCGCAAUGGGCGAAAGCCUGACGGAGCAACGCCGCGUGAGUGAUGAAGGUCUUCGGAUCGUAAAACUCUGUUAUUAGGGAAGAACAAAUGUGUAAGUAACUAUGCACGUCUUGAUGGUACCUAAUCAGAAAGCCACGGCUAACUACGUG
rnacentral:rRNA from 1 species